rnacentral:tRNA from 2 species
GUGUCGGUUGCAGAACGGUAAUGUCACGUCACAACGUGGGGGGUAACUCUUGCGGGUUCGAAUCCCGCCCGGCGCA